GCUCGCCCGGUGUGGAUAUGCACUCAGAGUAACAUCGCAAACAUACUACGAGUGAUAUUUGAAAAUGCAAUUUGGCACAUUUUUCAAAUAUCACGAGCAGUGUUAAUCAUUAAUUGCACGACUUGCCCGUGUGAUUAUUUAUUUAUUAUAUGCAUGACAAAAUCGCUUUCUUUAAAAUUCAACUGCAUUUUGUCAAGAGUUUUUAAUUCUUUUUUUUUUAAUUUUUUUUAACACUUUAAUUUGGCACAUAAAAAACUGAAUAUUUACACAACUUAAACGGACAAUUACAUUGUACAAGAAGACGAGGAAGUGCCAAAAGUGGCGAAACACAAACGAGACUAUGUCCCAUGCAAGGUGCUCACCACUAGACAACAAACAAAGACAAGAAACAAAGACAAGGAAGAUUAAAUGAAAAGACUAAGAGAAUGAAAAGCCAGAAAGAAUGAAAAGACAAAGAGAGAAAUGUUAGAUAUUUUUAUUGAGUCGUGAUAAGUGAGUGUGAACUAGGUAAGUCAGGAGUGUAGGAAGUACUAGUGAGGUGGAUGUAAGUCU